GGAAGGGGGACAGAAGGGUUUUCGGCAUGGAGGUAUGGGUUUAGGGAGACAGAGUAAGGGACAAGUAUGGGGUAGGCUGAUUUCACUGCUCUGCAAAUUUCCUGGUCGGACCAAAACUUCAGACCUGAAACCACCCCAACGAAUGUAAACAAAAAAACAGAGGAAAAUCCAGUAAUUAAUUUGUGUAUGGUUUUCCUUUUUUUCUUCUUCUUCUAUAUAUGGUAAAUACAAAACACUGAACAGUUGAUUGUGGUUGGUGGGUUGAUCUAGGUUUUGUUGAUUGCUGGAAUUUUGGUAGUAGUGCUCCAGAUUUACUUGCUCAUGGCCUUCUCGUUGCUUUACUGUGAAAAGAAAAGAUGGAUAAUUUAGUGCCAACUGUACUUAAUUCAAUGGAGAUUUGCUAGGUUUUUAAUACGAUUAGGUUAAUUGAA
rnacentral:lncRNA from 1 species